AAAUAUAGUUGUUUGAUGGUUUGAUUUAAUCCAUGCCAAUUACAUCAGUCAUGUGAUGACUGAUUAGAUCAGAUUUAAAUCCAAAUCUCUCUAUAAAUAUUAAGUCCUAGGUCUUCCACUGUUGUAGAUAUGCGGGUGUGCCACCAACAUUAAUUAUUCUCGACUGGUCACAGUGGUUCAGUUACAUCGAAAAUACGCAACUACUC
rnacentral:lncRNA from 1 species